rnacentral:miRNA from 1 species
GUUGCUUGGGGGUAUUAU